GUCGAAAUGACAAGUGCCCCCCACUGAUUCCUACCAACUGCCUACCUGCCUCAAUCCUAAGCUGUCUGCCUCGGUCCUAAGCUGUCUGCCUCGGUCCUAAGCUGUCUGCCUCGGUCCUAAGCUACCUGCAUUCCAUUCGUAACUUCCCCUUUCCUCACCAUCACACAGACACUCACAACUGCCCAACCUGCCACCAACCCGAACUGCCCACCCUUAAAAC